GAAGAGCAGAUAAUCUAAACAACUGUUCACUGCGUCACCUGAUAACAAAUCUAGAAGACAUUUCUUUCUUCUUUUCUGAGAAUCUAGACAGACAUCGACAUUUAAAGGAAUCACAAUGGGAGACAACACAAGUGACAAAGGGGCAGACAACACAAAUGACCCAAUGGCAGAUGUUCUAAAGAUGAAAAACAAGAAUUAUUUAAGGAGUGCCCAUCAAAUUCUGAAAGGAACUCCUGUUUUUUCGACUUUUCCAAUGAGUAUUUUGUUUGUUGGAUUAGAGAAGCUGAUUGAAAUAGAAAUGUUUUCAUGCCCAUGCACAGGCGAGCUAAAUAUAUUGCUAACAGUGUCCAUCUUCACUGGACCUGCUCUUUUUACGUACGCUUUAAUGUACCUCAUUUUAAGACCUUUUAAACAUACUGCAGAGAUACAAGAGAAGACUCUGUAUAACGGUCCUAAAAAAUUUUUAGCGUGUCUAAUUCCACCUGUACUUGGGAUCAUCAUUUUGUUACUUGAUGGUGAUUAUUUGGCUUGUGCAAUGACAGACUGGAAGGGAGAAUUUGUGCCUGAUGUGGCAUUCAACAGGUCUUGGUGUAAACCUACUGAAGGGACACAAAAUGUUACAGAGCUGAAAGAUCUAACUUGGAAACAUAUUCAUCAAUCUCAGUGUGCUGGGUACAUCUUGAUCUCUGUCUUCAGUGCCUUGAUGAUUGUCUUUUUGGCUAUUAAUGACUGCUGCAUUACUGGGAAAUGUGAUUGCUGCCCAAGUCGACUGUUAUGCUGCAAACACACAGGAGGGAAUAAUGAUGAGGAAAAAAAUGAGAGAGUAGAAAGUUCAGAAACU